AGGACGAACGCUGGCGGCGUGCUUAACACAUGCAAGUCACGGGGGCCCGCAAGGGCAACCGGCGAACGGGUGCGUAACACGUGAGCAACCUGCCUUUGUGUGGGGAUAGCCGGGCUAACGCCCGGGUAAUACCGCAUACGGUCACCGAGAGGAGUCUCUUGGUGAAGAAACCUCCGGGGCACGAAGAGGGGCUCGCGGCCUAUCAGCUAGUUGGCGGGGUAAUGGCCCACCAAGGCGACGACGGGUAGC
rnacentral:rRNA from 1 species